UACGUAGGGUGCAAGCGUUGUUCGGAAUUAUUGGGCGUAAAGCGCGUGUAGGUGGCUAGUAAAGUCGGGUGUGAAAGCCCUGGGCUCAACCCGGGAAGUGCAUUCGAUACUGGCUGGCUAGAAGAUGGUAGAGGUAGGUGGAAUUCCAAGUGUAGAGGUGAAAUUCGUAGAUAUUUGGAGGAAUACCGGCGGCGAAGGCGGCCUACUGGGCCAUUCUUGACACUGAGACGCGAAAGCGUGGGGAGCAAACAGG
rnacentral:rRNA from 1 species